GCUUUCAAGGCUUUCUUCCUCUUCUAUCCACUUAGCAGCACAUUCUUCAGCCUUUUUAAUGCUUUUCUCACUAAAUUCAAUUACCCUGCUGCAAGUUUCCACGACAUGUAUUCCACAGAACAACAAAUUGGAAUCUCCAGUAAAACAGGCAUCUGUGGAGGCCCCUUCAGCCAUUUUGUGUGCUAGCCUGAAGCAAAGCGCGUGAUUGGCCAAUUGGCAGACAACUCGAUGUUAAACGUGCUUUGAUUGGACUAAAAAGUACCCGAAAAUGUUCUGUUUUUUCUCUAAUUUAAUAAAAAUGUGCAAGUCUUAUUCAUGACGAAUUUCAGGGGUGAUUUAUAUAAUUUUUUUACACAAUAUGUGAAAAUUUCAUGUAGUUUGGUGACUUGGGUCACGAAACAGUAGAAUAAAGCUCCUCGGCCCACAGCCUAUAUGGGCAGGGGAAUUGAAAUAGUUUGCAAAUGGAAGACCCAGCAGGGCAGAUGAAAGGUCUUGACCAGAAACCUUAACUGUCCAUUUACCUCCACAGAUGCUGUCUGACCCGAGUUCCUCCAACUGGGCCAGUGUGUCUUCCUUCGAUGCUCUGACUCUGAACAGGGUGUUUUAAUGUUUAAUCAUUAACCUUGCUCCUAAGCAAAACUGAUUGUUGUUUAAUUUGUAUAUUACGUUUUGAUAAUCUUAAACGUUUUAGAUUUGGUGUGAUCACUAACCACGUAGCCUGUUUAAUUAAGCCUAUUUAUGCAAAGGAGAAUAAUUUUUCUGUGAUUGUAUUGUUCUGCAGGCCUAUUCAUAUCCCAGUCCUCCUGCUGUGGCGUUACCACAAGUCCAAGUGGGUUAUCCACAUCCUGUGUAUAAUUAUCAGGCAGCAACACAGUGGUCACCAGGAGGUCAUUGGAGAUGGAUGGUGCCUCAGCCUUCCACAGGGGCAUACGUAAAUUUUCCUUGUCCUGAAAUGAUUAAUCCAGGAACUGUGUUUGUGCAGAGAGAAUGUGAUGCACAGCCAUCUUCAACUUCAUCUCUAGAUACUGUGGAAAAGGUAAUUAACUAAUCUUUAAAGAUCUGCUUUUAUGAAACUGCAAUGUUGAUCCUUUUUAAAAAUGCCAAAACCUCUAGGGGAAUGUUAAUGUGAAGCAUGCAGCAAUAUACUGGGAGAAGGGGGAUAUUUUAUAUUCUACCUUUGAUUUGGUUGUCUAUGUAUCACUGCUUGAUACUUUUUGAAUAUCAAAUAUUGAUGCACUUUCACAAUUCUAAUUUUUGCACAAAUUUGAUUUUAAUUUUACGUAUAUCAAAUAGUUUUAAUACAAAAGGCCUCAUAGAAUGCUUGAUACAUGGGAAAUGUUAUUUGGAUCCCUUUCCCUCAUUGCCCCUUUUUCCACACACAACCACCUCUAUCUUCAUCAAUGCAGCUGUUCGAACAUAAACACGAGGAAGUUAAUUUCUGGUUUUAAUUCUUUCUUGAACUUUUUGAAGGUUAUCACUGGUAAAAGUGAUUGUCUAUCCCUGAUCAUUUUAGGUUGAAUUGGUUGUGUGUUGAACAACUGCAGACUUGGACAAUGGAGAAAGUAUUUGAAUGGGGACCUAAAAAAUAUGGACACCUUUGAUUAUAAAUAAACAUUAAUAUAAAGUCAAACCAAGAUUGUAUCAGCUGCC